rnacentral:rRNA from 1 species
UACGGAGGGGGGCUAGCGUUGUUCGGAAUUACUGGGCGUAAAGCGCACGUAGGCGGCUUUUGUAAGUUAGAGGUGAAAGCCCGGGGCUCAACCCCGGAAUUGCCUUUAAGACUGCAUCGCUUGAAUUGUGGAGAGGUGAGUGGAAUUCCGAGUGUAGAGGUGAAAUUCGUAGAUAUUCGGAAGAACACCAGUGGCGAAGGCGACUCACUGGACACAUAUUGACGCUGAGGUGCGAAAGCGUGGGGAGCAAACAGG